AACGUCCCGCUGUUUUUUUUUUUUUUUCUUCCUUUUCUUAUAAGCGCGCGAGGCGCCACCUGCCGCGGCUAAGAAGUUAAUUUAUGAAAACGAUGGGGUAUUUGCCUCUAACAGUCAUUAAAUUUGUGUUCGGUCUUGAUUUUCAACUAAAAUCAAUUGAAACACAUUACUAUAUCGUACUUUCUGCGGCUUUUUGUCGGUAAUUCGGACUGUCUGCAGCGUGAGCGUCCACUCGCGGUUAGCUUAGCCAGCUAGUCAGUUAGCACCAUCUCCCCACACUGCGAAGCGCCAACGACCACUUCUGCCUGGGCUCGUGCUGUCGCUCGCGAAGUGCUCCAGCCCGCCAUUGCAGCUUUUGGCGGGAGCGCCAUUUGUGUCCAAUAACCUCCCCUUCAUUUCUACUUCCUCCUUUUCUUGCUAUUAAUCCAGGCCGUAAUUUACAAAUUUUAACUGAGUUGUUGUCGAGUUUUUACUCACCCGUUUCGUGUAUCGCACGCUGGUUUGUUGUGAACUUUGCUUUUGAAGUGCACUUUUUAAUGCACAUCAUGUUCCUUAUCAAUGCAUUUACCCUAACAGAUAGACUAAACUGGGCCUUGGAACUGGGUGCAGAGUGAUUAUUCAAAGUGAAACACCGUGGAGGAGCAGACAUGCACAUUGGUGUAACACGCACCAGGGUAUACAAGGAGAGCCCCAGUGUCUUCUCCCCCACGCUGUCUGUCUUGGGUGCAACAAGGGUGUCUUUGAAGCCCAGUGUCCAGCUGCACUUUCUGGGAUCAAACCCCAGGGACAGUGAGUCUCUGUGCAGGCUGUGGGACCAAGACCACAGAAAAGGAGAAACUCGGGGCGAAACGACUGGGCAAGAAAGGGAGGCGAGGAGGGGGUGUGAGCUGCACGCCAUUAGACACAACUUAAAAUAAGCAACAGUUACAGAAAGUCGUCUUCACAACGCUCCUUCUCCAAGUCUCUGUGAUGUGGCAUGGGAAAAGAAACAUGCUUUUCUCUUGCCCUACUCUCUCUAGUCAUUCCUUGCAUGGAUGGUGGUAAAUUUCUAUUUUUUAUAGAGCAAUGUAACACACGCACAAUAUGAGCAAUGAAGAUUCCCCAGUUCACCUGAAACGCAUGUCAGACUGUGGGAGAAAUUCCAGGUUUUUUCAAAAAACUAUCCAUGUUCACUGUACUGUUUUACCCAUAUGGUAAUCCUCCUUUUCGUCUCUCUUCAAAUUCGGUUUCGCUUUCACAUUUUGUGUGGGUUUACAGUGUCACUAUGUAUUGUACAGUACCAGUGGCAUAACAACUCAUUUGAUACGGGGGAGUCAAAAACAGUAUUAAUAGUUCUUGAUUUGUACAGAAAUGGGGGGGGCGGGGAGUCCCCUCCCUUUUCACACCUACAGUAUGAUAAAUCAAGUGUAUACCACUGAAGUGUAAUUGUUGC